rnacentral:lncRNA from 1 species
GAUUGAACCUUUGACCUGUAAGCCAUCCUCAAUAAAUGUUGUCCUUAUAAGAGUUGUCUUGAUCAUGGUGUCUCUUCACAGCAGUUAAACCCUAACUAAGACAACAGUGCAAUGGAAAGACACAGAACUCUGUCCUUUUUUUUUUUUUUUUAACCUUUUUUUUUUUAAUGGAGAGAAGAAUGAUUUUGUUGUUGUUGUUGUUAAAAAAUAGAUUGACUUGUUUUUAUUAAGGUAAAUUUUUGUUGGACGUGCUCUUCUUACCUUGUGUGCAGUUCUGGUUUGUGUUCCCUAGAUUAGUGGCUCCAACUCUGAUCACUGUGAUAAGCUCCUUCAAGGUUGCUGUGCCUUCAGAUGGGAUGGAGAGAAACAAAGGAGACACUACAAAAUGACAGUAACAGCUCUCCAUUCAGGGCCUGGUAUUUGUCAGGUGCUUUAUAGAGUAAAUGGUUUCUUCUUCCAUUUGUCCAAGGUGCUCUUUACCUGGUGGGGUUCUGACUUCCUGUUCAAUCUAGACUCUCCAAAUCUUGCUGCUGGAGAGCCUUCUGAGAGCAUCUGAUCUCAAGACGUAACCUUGAGGGGAAUGAAAGUCUGAGCCAGCCAAGCCAGAUGGCCGUCACCAUGGCAGCCUGUUGCUAAGCGCCAUCCUUCUGCCUCCUCGGGGAGAUUGCUGCAACCCAACUCAGGACAGGGAGUGAU